CUUCGUUCCUUCCAGAAUCUCCUAUCGUGCAGUUCUAACCACUGUCAACACUGCUGUCUUCUCUCCAGCAUGGAGUGCAUCUGGCUGUCCUGCAGCCAUGCACCCUGGCCUUCUGGUGCCAAGCACCCAGUUCUGACACCUCAGAUUAACCAAGGACCUUGGAGAGAGAGAGGGAAGGCUAGAGAGAAAGGUGGGGAAAGGAGAGAACUCUAAAGUCAACCUCAUAUUCUGGAGGCCAGCAGGUGCAAAAUGAAGGUACUGGCAGGUUCCAUGUCUGAUGAGAGCUUCCCCUGCUUCCAAGAAAACACCCUGUUGCUGCGUCCUCCUCUGGCAGAAGGGACCAAAG